rnacentral:rRNA from 1 species
GAUGAACGCUGGCGGCGUGCCUAAUACAUGCAAGUCGAGCGAACAGAUGAGGAGCUUGCUCCUCUGACGUUAGCGGCGGACGGGUGAGUAACACGUGGAUAACCUACCUAUAAGACUGGGAUAACUUCGGGAAACCGGAGCUAAUACCGGAUAAUAUAUUGAACCGCAUGGUUCUAUAGUGAAAGAUGGUUUUGCUAUCACUUAUAGAUGGAUCCGCGCCGCAUUAGCUAGUUGGUAAGGUAACGGCUUACCAAGGCAACGAUGCGUAGCCGACCUGAGAGGGUGAUCGGCCACACUGGAACUGAGACACGGUCCAGACUCCUACGGGAGGCAGCAGUAGGGAAUCUUCCGCAAUGGGCGAAAGCCUGACGGAGCAACGCCGCGUGAGUGAUGAAGGGUUUCGGAUCGUAAAACUCUGUUAUUAGGGAAGAACAAAUGUGUAAGUAACUGUGCACGUCUUGACGGUACCUAAUCAGAAAGCCACGGCUAACUACGUG